rnacentral:rRNA from 1 species
ACCUAUAAUUUACUUGAUCUUGACACAAUCCUACUUGGAUAACUGUGGUAAUUCUAGAGCUAAUACAUGCAUUAAAGCUCUGACCUCACGGGAAGAGUGCAUUUAUUAGAACAAAACCAAGCGGCUUCGGCUGUUUCUGGUUGACUCAUAGUAACUGAGCUGAUCGCAUGGUCUUGCACCGGCGACGUGUCUUUCAAGUAUCUGCCGUAUCAACUUUCGAUGGUAGUGUAUCUGACUACCAUGGUGAUCACGCGUAACGGAGAAUAAGGGUUCGGCUCCGGAGAGUUCGCCUGAGAAAUCGCGAACACAUCUAAGGAAGGCAGCAGGCGCGAAAAUUACCCACUCUCAGCACGAGGAGGUAGUGACGAAAAAUAACGAGACCGUUCUCUUAUGAGGCCGGUCAUCGGAAUGGGUACAAUUUAAACCCUUUAACGAGUAUCUAUGAGAGGGCAAGUCUGGUGCCAGCAGCCGCGGUAAUUCCAGCUCUCAAAGUGCAUAGAAUUAUUGCUGCGG